rnacentral:misc_RNA from 1 species
AACGCACAUUGCGCCCGUCAGUAUUCUGGCGGGCAUGCCUGUUCGAGCGUCAUUAUAACCACUCAGGACCCCUCUGAUUUCGAUCGGGGCGGGGCCUGGCGUUGGGGAUCGGCCCGCCUCGUGCGGCGCCGUCCCCCAAAUCCAGUGGCGGUCUCGCUGCAGCCUCCCAUGCGUAGUAAAUUCACCUCGCAGCGGAGCGCGGCGCGGCCACGCCGUAAAACCCCCGACUUUUACUGGUUGACCUCGGAUCAGGUAGGAAUACCCGCUGAACUUAA